rnacentral:rRNA from 1 species
CGGAUUGUAGUCUGCAACCCGACUACAUGAAGCUGGAAUCGCUAGUAAUCGCGGAUCAGAAUGCCGCGGUGAAUACGUUCCCGGGUCUUGUACACACCGCCCGUCACACCAUGGGAGUCGGAAAUGCCCGAAGUCUGUGACCCAACCGGAAGGAGGGAGCAGCCGAAGGCAGGUCGGAUGACUGGGGUGAAGUCGUAACAAGGUAUC